GGCCGGGAGAUGGAGGGCGGCGGCCGGAGGUGGAGGACGGCGGCCGGAGUUAUACCUUUAGAUUGCCCUCCUCAAACCCUAGCUACCGCCAUGCCAUCGUCGCUAUUGUUCUGCUCAAGGAGGUGCUGAUCCGGAGUGGCUUGAGGAGCUCGACCUCUAUUGACUCAUCCCCGGUACCAUGGCGUCCAGCUGUGACGGCACUCUCCCAGCCGGCCGGAGGGCUUGUGGCUCCAACAGAUCUGAUCUCCUCCGCCUGAGCUGCUGCUCCUCUGCUCCUGGGAUCUUCACCCCCACCGGCAGGUCGAUCUCCUCCUUCCCAACACUCUUUUACAUGUUUUAGAGGCACUAUGAUCCAACAGAUCGAGGGCAUUAGCUGCUUGGCACAAGCAGUCCAGAUUUUGUGAUUUGGCGCCAAACACGUGUUUGUUGUUAUGCCUAUGAGAAGAAAAUCAAUAUAUGUGCUUACUUGCUACUUAUCUCGCCUAAUCUGAUUGUACUGGUUUAUAUUUUCUGUAAAAAUAUACUCAUCAAUCAUAGUCAGUUGGCUAAACAGAAAAAAAUCAUAGUUUGUUUCAUCAUUGUAAGAACUAAUAAGUUUAGUAGUAUAAAUUAUUAACCUGUUGUAGUUGAGAAGGGAGGGAACCAGUGAGAAAAUGAAGAUGUCUACAAGCUUGGUUCCUGGCUGAGACAAGGAAAAACUCUGCUCGAUUAGGUCAUCAGGUACAUGCAAUGGCUGCAGAGCCAACUUGUAUCGAUGAAGCUCGCCACUCUCAACCCAAUGAUGGUGUACGAGCUUGGGCUAGACACUGGAAGCAUGUACGGACAGAUGUUUGACUGGUAACUAAUCAGGACUUGAUGGCAAUGAAGCAACAUAUUUCAUAACAUGGCAAUCCUCAGCUAUUAUGGUGCAGCUGGAGACGGUGUCCGACGGCAUGGUGAACCUCAUGGCAAGUCCCGAACGGGAAGGGCCAGGAGGUGCUAUGGAGUCAUACACGAUGAUAAAACUCUGUUUCAACCGUGGCAGGUUUCAGAAUUCAUAUUUCCAGUAGCCAACAUCGAACUGAUAGUUUGAACAUCCUGUAGGUGGCCCUUUGAACUCUGUGAGUGAACACUUAUGCUCUUUUUCUUCCUAUGAGUAGAUCGUAUUAGAUGUUUUUCUGAUUUUUUCUAGGAGUAAAAGAAAGAACCUUGCUCCCUGAUAGAGUGUAGCACAUAAUGCACGUGGGUGAAAACUAAAUACCAUUUUCUCUGUAAUUUAUAUGUGAAAUGUCUUUGUGCAGCUGUUUCUCAUUUUAUAUGUCAGCACUAAACGUGGGUGAAAACUAAAUACCAUUUUCUCAUUUUAUACCGUAAACGUUUCAGCACUUCUUUUUCUCUCUGGUUAGUUGCAACUGGUCAGGAUUAGCUAGACAUUUAAUGGUUCUCUAAUGAACAUAUACAAUGGAUAUUCAGUACAGCAUGUGUUUGGAAUUUCACUAAUAUUCAUAAUGUAGCGUUCUUUUAAUAUAUGUAUAUGCUCGAGAGCAAAUAGGAAGAGUAACCACACAGAGAUCCAUAUUGCAUAACUGAUUGGAU